AACAUAUUUAAAAUACACAAGGGUUCCAUAUACAAUAAUGUUCAAGAUGAGCAAUGUGUACAUAAAUUAACAUAAACCCAAGUGUCUAAUGAGUUAGAGCACUUGUAGGUUAUUACGCGCUAAUUGGAUACCCGAACUGCUAGCAUACAUACGGACGCAAACUUACUAUGGCACCGAAACGGAGGAACCUUAGGCGCGACACCUCAGACCCUAUGCCUACUACACAGGCAGAACUGAAUCAGCUCCUUGAAGAGCGAAUCUCGCAAGCAAUCGCCCAAUAUGAGGCCAACCGCAAUGAACACAGUGGCGGAUCUGGCGGAACUGGCGGCCAAGGUCAGGGAGGCACAUCUGGUGGCAACGCCACAAAUGGGUGCACGUACAAACAAUUUCUCGACUGCAAGCCUCUCAAUUAUGAUGGUACUGGAGGUGCAGUGGCAUUUGUACGAUGGACAGAGAAAACUGAGUCCAC